rnacentral:snRNA from 1 species
GCAUGCUUCAACCCAUGUUUCCAGCACCAUUUGUUGAAGAUUCAGCUGAUCUGGCUGGCUAGGCGGGUGUCCCCUUCCUCCCUCACCACUCCAUGUGCGUCCCUCCCAAAGCUGCGCACUCAGUGGAAAAGGACGGCCUUUCCUGAGUAGAGGUGGACCAGUCUUUGGUCGAGGGUAUAUGAGUAGCUGUACUCCCCUGCUAGAACCUCCAGACAACCUCUUCUUCUGUUACCUUAGUGUUUGCAUAGAGGAAUGUCACUGACUUUUCUAUGUUGAUUUUGU